UCAAAAAAAAACCCUAGGUUUUAAACAUCUCGCCUCCAUCACAUCCCUCCCUAUCUCCCCCUGCGCCGUCAUCCUUUCCACAGGCCCUCACUCCGUUCAUCUUCCAAACGCCCCCUCCUUCCCCGAUUCUUUUCUAGAGUUCGUUGACCAGAAUGGAAUCACCGUCCUUGGAAUCUGCUAUGGCAUGAGCUCCUUGUGUAGAAGCUUGGAGGUGAGGUUGCUGUUGGGGAAAAGCAAGAGUUUGGGAAGAUGGAGUUCGAUGUUUUUUCGGGAAAGUAGGCUUUUUGGUGCUGAGAUGGUGGGGAAGCACAAGAUGGUGUGGAUGAGCCAUGGGGAUGAGGCCGCGAGGUUGCUUGAGAGGUUUGAAGUUGUGGCGAGGAGCGUGCAGGGUUGGUGGAUGCGAUUGAGAACCCAUCAAAGAGCUGGUUGUAUGUUCUUGAGUACCAUCCGGAGGUAGUGAUUCAAAACUUGUUCAUCUCCCUAAUUUUAUCUUGAUAUUGCUUUUCAUUUGUGUAUGUUUGAGUUAAUGGAUGAAGCAAUCUACAAUGUGCAACAAUGGCCCUCUUUCUUCCCGCAGCCAAAAUCGAGCUCCAUCUCCGUAAUGCUUGAUAAGCUUGAAUGAAUUCAUGCUUUCAUAUGAGAACAGAGUGCUUGAUCAGUAUGGUAUGAAGGAACUAUCUGGAAUGAUUUGGCUCAUGGAAAAGGCAUUCUUGUUGCUGAAUAGGGACUUGCCAGGUAUGAAGGGGAAUGGCUUCAAAACCAAAUGGAAGGUCAUGGGGUUGUCGAAGUUGGCAUUCCUGAAUCAUAGCCUACACCAGGUUCAAAGUAUGUCUAUCAACAUUUUCUUAACCACCAACUCAAUGUUGAUAUGAAAAAGCUUUCACAUCUGCUAGUGUUUUUUCUGAACUUCUCUACCAACUCAUGAAACUCUUAGUCUAAUGACAGCUAUACGAUGUCUAUUUUGCCUUGAUAAACUACCAUAUCAUCUUGGCUUGGUAGAUAACUAUGCAAUGUACAUCCACUGGUAUAUUUUCAGUAAAUAAUAUGAAUAUUUCCCUCUGUUUUUUCACUUUUGUUGAUGAAGUUAUGUGUUGUUUUUGAAAUUGAUUAAUAGAUGAGAGAUUAGAGAUGUUGCAAGCUAUUUAUCAACGACAAUUGUAAGAGGACAAUACGGUAACAAGGUUUAUAGCUUUGUAAGAUUAGUUGAAUAUAUUAUGGUGGAAGCCAUGGAAUGGACAUUUAAAGGCAUGUGAAGAGACGGAAGAACACAAAAUCAAAAUUAGACUCAUCCUUGUAAUUAGAGGUGUAAAUUAACAAGAGAUGCUUGUACUUAGAGCUUUGUUCUCAUUUUAUUUUAUUUUUUAAUAUAAACUCUUCUCUUUCUUGAA